rnacentral:rRNA from 1 species
UACGUAGGGACCAAGCGUUGUCCGGAAUCAUUGGGCGUAAAGCGCGUGUAGGCGGUCCGGUAAGUCCGCUGUGAAAGUCGGGGGCUCAACCCUCGGAUGCCGGUGGAUACUGUCGGGCUUGAGUACGGAAGAGGCGAGUGGAAUUCCUGGUGUAGCGGUGAAAUGCGCAGAUAUCAGGAGGAACACCAAUUGCGAAGGCAGCUCGCUGGGACGUUACUGACGCUGAGACGCGAAAGCGUGGGGAGCAAACAGG